UGCAGAUGGAGCCGUCCAGCGGAGUCGCCGGCACCGGAACGUCGACCACCCCAGGUGCUUCUCGAGGCAGCCGGAGGAGUGCUGCUGAUGGUCAAUAAAUGUUCAGAGUGUUGUGUUGCAACACGAACCAAUCUUUUUCAUGUGUAAUUGAUCAAAGUGGGUUUGUGAUCACAAUGAUGGCUUGAUGACUGAAUCUGGUUGAUGGAUUCAUGUGAUGAUGAUUCUUUCGCGACUGCGUCUCCUUCAGAUGUUAUAAUAAUCAAGCUAGGCAUGUGUUGUUCCAGGAUUUGAUUGCAUGAGCUUUUCAUGCCGUGCACUAUUGGUUGUCAUUCGUUUUUGAGCUGUGAUGACUUCCUCUCUAGUUUAUUUAAGAUGUUUCAUGGAGUGUCUAUUUCGUUAGGCUCGUGAGUUGCUUAUUGCUGAAUGAAAAGGCGGGAACCUUAGCAUGCAUGUUCACUCAUGCACAUACAGAAACUUGCUGUCAUUUUUGUAUACCUGGUUUCCAUUUAGAGCUGGUCAUCAUGUUUUAAUUCUUCUUGAGGAGGAGUAGAUGAUGGAUCCUGCAGCUGGGUGCAUCUUGCAGCUGCUUUUCUACCUCCUUAACUCUGUGUUUAAUAUGGUUUAUUAGCUGGAGUAAUCUUUUUGUUUUGUAAAUAAUAAAUCUGAUGGUCUAGAGCUGAGCAGCAUCAUGUGUUUGUUAAACCCAGCCAGUGUUGUGGGUGGGUACUAGGUAGCAUCGUGCUCGGAACAGUGAAGAAGAUCCCGGACCAAUACGUGGAGAUAAUCAGCCAGCGCAUCUGAUAAAACCUAGUAAUAUUUGAGAGAUAUAUAACUGAAGGUUCUGGAGUUGUUUCCGUCUGCCCAUUGUCCUUGUCUGAGUCGGCGACAGGCCAUGAGACGAAGAUCUGAUGCACAUCCAUGGUGGCUCUUGCCGAUUCGACUAUCUUCAGGUGCUCUGGUGGUUGUGAAAAACGAUAUGCGGUCUCUGUGACUUGCCUCCUUCCUCAUGGUCUCCCUUGACGUCCUAGGCGCCCGGUGAGACAUCAAGUUCUCCCUGAACCCUUAGACUGAACAUGGACUCUCUGCGCUAGUGGAUGUUUUUUUUUUUAUCUUGAGCAUGAAUUGGUUCUCGGCCUAGUGUAUGAGCUUCAGUUUGUUAUUCCACUUCUAGUGCAUGGAUUUGUUCUAGGUUAAAUGCAAGAGUUGGUUCAGAUUGGGUGGAUGGUAGUUCAAAUAGCCUUGUAAAUCUUUUAUGUGUGUCUGGCCUAUAGCCACUUUACAAAAUGACAAGGAUUUUGAU